AAGUUUCUUACCAAUCCAACCCAAUUCUCAAACAAUUAGCUGCUCACUUUUUCUUACUUUUCUGUUUCAACGCUUUCUGGUCAUUUUACCAUCUUUCAAAUCAAACCAUAUAUAAACCUAUUUCCACACUCCACCUCCAUCACCAACCAACCUCUUCUAUUCUUCUUCUUCUUCUUCUUCCUCCCUUCUCUCCCACUUAAUUUGACCACAAGCAACCACCAAAGAACAUGAAUCACAGUGACCAUGUUCAUAUUGCCUAUUACUUUGUCAUCUCCCUCCUCACCACGUCUCUUAUUGUUCUCGGUCUUGUGCUUCUUCUGACCCUCCUCUGCAAGAGGAAACAGAACACUGAUGAUCAAUCUGAAGAAACUGUAAUCCCAGCUAAGAUUUGUGCCAGAGUAUACCCUUUAACCGAUAUUGAUGCCGCCACAGAUGGCUUCAACCGCAGAAGAAUCGUCGGUGAGGGCCGUUUGGGAACUGUGUAUGCUGCAAUAUUCGAAAAGGGGGAGAUAGCGGCCGUGAAGAGAAUUCAUCCGAGGCUUGUGUUGGGAAAUAUUGGUUUUGGGUUUUCAAGAACACUUGGCUCUCUCUCAUUGGCUCAACACCCCAAUGUAGUGCCCAUUGUUGGGUACUCAGAAGCACCAGGUGAGAGAAUCAUUGUCAUGGAGUUUGUGGGUAUGGUUUGCUUGGAUUUUUACUUGCAUCAAAACCCAGAUGGGGCUUCUCUGUUGGAUUGGAACCACAGGCUUAAAAUUGCAGCAGGGGCAGCAAGAGGGCUUCAGUACUUGCAUGAAGGAGUUGCUCCAAAUAUUGUUCAUGGAUGUGUGAAGGCUUCAAAUAUCUUGAUUGAUGUGAAAUUCUGUGCUAGGGUUUGUGAUUAUGGUCUAUCAUUUUUGGCACCAAAAGAGAAGAGGGGUCUAGUUGGUUAUGUGGAUGAUGAGUAUUGGAGAGGAGGUGGUGUGUGCAAAGAAAGCGAUAUGUUUGGUUUUGGGGUGGUUCUGUUGGAACUUCUGAGUGGGAGACGAUGUGAUGAAGGGUUUCUAGUGAAAUGGGCAAUGCCAUUGAUUAAGGAGAUGAGGUUUAGUGAGUUUUUGGACCCAAGACUUGUUAUUCCUCAUGACAUUAGGCCUCUUGUCAGAUUGACCAAAGUUGCCUCGACUUGUGUUUGUAAUUCCAGAAAGAGCAGACCUUCAAUUAGUCAAGUCGCAACUAUCCUCAACAAUUUGGAGAUAGAUUCAACGUGAACAAAUUUUUUUAAGUAGUUAGCUGUUAAUAACUCACACACCCAUGCAGUGGUAUCCCAGCGCUAGGACACAUGCACCGACAUUGCGGCGAAAGUCAGGCAAAGCCAGACAAAUCCACUGCACCGCAGACGCACGAAUCCAAAAGAUCCCUCAAAUCUGCUGGCCACGGGAUGGAGCUGGGAUUCGAACGCUAAACCUGGGGGUUCCAGACUAGGACGUUCGACCAACACACCACACCACGUGAUUCCAAAAUCACAUAAACACAAAGAAAAGCAGCGAGAGCAUGGAAAUUCAAAUCAGCAGAGACGAAACAGCCCAGUAACGUGAGACGCAUCUGAGAGACCAAUAUACAAGGUUAAAAGUAAGGAUAUCCACUACAGGAUGAAAUGAUUAAUUAGUAUAGACUAGGGGUGGGCGUCCAGACCCGAAAGACCGAGGACCCGACCCGAAUUGAGGAAAAAAGACUGAAUCGGUUCGGUUUUAGAAUAGAAAUUUUUGGUUCGGUCUAAAGCCCGACCCGAAUUCAUGUAAUCGGUUCGGUCUCGGGUUUCAUAUUUUCAGGGCCCGAAAGCCAGAACCGACCCGAAUACUGUAGCACAUGCCACAUGUCAGUCCAUGAUUGGGUGUUAACUCAACCUCAGCCUCCCUCUCUCUGCGACUUUGCUUGUAUCGACCUCAGCCCCAAAUUUCAGAUCUGAUGAAAUCUCCCUCUCACUCUCUCAGCCCCAAAUUUCAGAUCUGAGUUGUCUAUCUCUCUCUCCUUCCAUUACCAGUUCCUGCUCCGGUCUCGAUCUCCAAUCCUCACUCCUCCUAACCGAACCCCUCUUCACUCUCCCUCCAUCCAACGCACCACCGACAAACUGGCAUUGAGGAGGAAGAAAAUAUAU